UGGAUGUGAUGAGAACUCUGGAGCCUGACCCAUCCCCACCUGUGGAGGCCAAAGCUGAUUUAAUGAGCCUGAUCC